rnacentral:rRNA from 1 species
AGUGAACGCUGGCGGUAGGCCUAACACAUGCAAGUCGAACGGCAGCACAGUAAGAGCUUGCUCUUACGGGUGGCGAGUGGCGGACGGGUGAGGAAUACAUCGGAAUCUACUUUUUCGUGGGGGAUAACGUAGGGAAACUUACGCUAAUACCGCAUACGACCUACGGGUGAAAGCAGGGGAUCUUCGGACCUUGCGCGAUUGAAUGAGCCGAUGUCGGAUUAGCUAGUUGGCGGGGUAAAGGCCCACCAAGGCGACGAUCCGUAGCUGGUCUGAGAGGAUGAUCAGCCCCACUGGAACUGAGACACGGUCCAGACUCCUACGGAAGGCAGCAGUGGGGAAUAUUGGACAAUGGGCGCAAGCCUGAUCCAGCCAUACCGCGUGGGUGAAGAAGGCCUUCGGGUUGUAAAGCCCUUUUGUUGGGAAAGAAAAGCAGCAGGUUAAUACCCCGCUGUUCUGACGGUACCCAAAGAAUAAGCACCGGCUAACUUCGUG